UGAAGCGGAAUGCAGUGAGGCACGAAGGAACGAUUUCACCUAUUGGCGUUGUGCGGGCAAGACGUGUGUACGCCAAGAAAAGUGUCUGCCCACUGCCUCGUUACGAUGGGAGUUUGAUCGACUUUGUUUUGUGUGUUGGUCUGGUGUCAUCCUUCUCGUGGCGAUGAUGUUGUUUUAGGUCGGGAAGCAGUGUACAGUACAACAAGGGAGAAGGUCGGGUCAUGCCGGUCACUCCUAAAACAUCAGGCAAACCGGUCUCAGGCGUCAGUCAGGAGAUGAAGCACGUUCGCCACGUUCCGCCAGAAGUAUGGCACCGGCGUCCCUACAUCUGCGCACUACCAACUUGA
rnacentral:lncRNA from 1 species